CCAGAGAUGAAUAUAUUAUGAACUUCAUAGUACAAAAAAGUGAUUUCGGCCUAACCCCUCAAACACUUGAUGUAACCUCACCCUUGAACAAUUAAGUAAACUCUCUCCCAACUCAUUUUAGCAAUGCAAGUGAAAAUCAACACUCGGCACUCAGAUGGUGCACACAAUGGCACUCAAUAAUAGUUCCUACCAUGAACAAGUGUUUACUUUAAAUUUACACAUCACCCAUGAAAUAAAUCUUCUUUAUAUAAGCUUCAAGAUCAGUCAAGCUCUUCAUAAGCUCCGUGUAAAGUGGAAUAAUAAAUUUCCAAAUGCAAUAUCUCCGACAGUUGUCAUGCUUGAACAAGGAUUGUUCCAAAAGCAACAAUGAACCUGGAAAUUAUAAAUGCCAAAAUAGAAUAAGUUAAAAUUGAUCUCAUUUAGACUGAGCAGUGCCCAAGUGUAGAAACACUUACCAAAAGGCUGCCCUGCAUCAAUGAAUAUUGUGAAUCUGAACGCCUCGAGGAGCCUGUCAAUAGCAUAGGUCCCAUCUAAGAUGGUAAUCAGUUGACAUACAUAUAUAUUACAACUCUUAAACUACACUAUUUAUAUAAUCUUUAUUUUAAGAGUACAACCAUUUUGAAGGGUAGCAUGCAAGCUUCAUAGGCUUCUCUACAUCAAUGAUUUUUUAGAAUUAAAUUAUUAGAAGCCCUUAAAUUGAAGCCUAUGAAAUGACAGAUACGAAAAGAAGGACUAACCUCUAUUUAUGCAUAUAAAUUAUUAUAGUUGACAAAUGCCUUUCCCCGAUGGGUUACUGCAAAAAAUAAGUAAAAUAUUAUGAAAGAUGGUAAGUAAAAAGUACGAUUAAAACAAAGGAAUUUCAAAUGAAUAAUAUUUUACCAAAGAAACAGUAAGCAUCCAACUUGAAUGAUAUUAGAAUGAAAAAUAGCAUGAGACACCAGAGUUAACAAACCUGAUUACAACCGAAUGUCCGGGAUGUGACCAAUCGGCACCUAUGUCCUUCUGACACCUUUCCUUUAACUGAGGAACUAUAUGUAUAUUUAACUCUUGAAUCCACUCCGGAAGCUGAUGAAGAAUGCAUCCUG
rnacentral:lncRNA from 1 species